UCAGACGAUGCGUCAUGCAUAUCAAUAAGCGGAGGAAAAGAAACUAACAAGGAUUCCCUCAGUAACGGCGAGUGAAGCGGGAAGAGCUCAAAUUUGAGAUCUUGAAAGGUCACCUUUCACGAAUUGUAGUUUAAAGAAGUGUUUUCUGUUACGAUCGUAAUAUAAGUUCUUUGGAAUAGGACAUCACAGAGGGUGAGAAUCCCGUCUAUGAUUGCGAUUUGUAGCUUUGUGAUACACUUUCAAAGAGUCGGGUUGUUUGGGAAUGCAGCCCAAAACGGGAGGUAAAUUUCUUCUAAGGCUAAAUAUUGGUGAGAGACCGAUAGCGAACAAGUACCGUGAGGGAAAGAUGAAAAGAACUUUGAAAAGAGAGUUAAAUAGUACGUGAAAUUGUCAAAAGGGAAGCGUUUAACACCAGUGUUGUUUUCUGAAAAUCAACCUCUGUUAGCUUUAUGCAUGUUUGUUUAGACCUAAUCAGCUAUCUUGCAUGUUCUAUUGUUUGCAGUGGUGCACUUUUCAGUUUACAGGUCAACAUCAGUUUUUUUUACCGUAAAAAAGUUAAAGAAAGGUAGCUCAUGGCUCCGGUCGUGAGUGUUAUAGUCUUUUUCCUAUGCGGUAGGAGAGACUGAGGUCCUGCAGUGUAGGCUAUUUGGCUAGAUACUCAGGUGCUAUGUGAUACCAUUUCAUAAACAACUUGUUGAUUAUGUUUUGUCUAUUGCAUACUCGCUUGUACUAUCAUACCUACGCUUAGGAUGUUGAAGACUCUACAGAGAU
rnacentral:rRNA from 1 species